rnacentral:rRNA from 1 species
GACGAACCGAGCGAACGUUGUUCGGAAUUACUGGGCGUAAAGGGCGCGUAGGCGGCCUUCUAAGUCGAACGUGAAAUCCCCGGGCUCAACCCGGGAACUGCGUCCGAUACUGGAAGGCUUGAAUCCGGGAGAGGGAUGCGGAAUUCCAGGUGUAGCGGUGAAAUGCGUAGAUAUCUGGAGGAACACCGGUGGCGAAGGCGGCAUCCUGGACCGGCAUUGACGCUGAGGCGCGAAAGCCAGGGGAGCAAAGCGGG